UUACGGCCACACAAUGUUGAAACAUCGGUUCCCGUACGAUCAACGAAGUUAAGCAACGUCGAGCCUGGUCAGUAACUAGAUGUAUAACCGUUUGGGAAUACCAAGUGAUGUAC